UGGGGAAUAUUGCACAAUGGCCGGAAGCCUGAUGCAGCGACGCCGCGUGGGGGAUGACGGCCUUCGGAAUACCGAUAGCCGUUGGUCCUGGUAUAACUCCUUUCACCAUCGACGAAGGGUUUGUGACGGUACAUGGAUAAGAAGCACCGGCUAACUACGUG
rnacentral:rRNA from 1 species